rnacentral:rRNA from 1 species
AUUGAACGCUGGCGGCAUGCUUUACACAUGCAAGUCGAACGGUAACAGGGUGCUUGCACCGCUGACGAGUGGCGAACGGGUGAGUAAUGCGUCGGAACGUGCCGAGCAGUGGGGGAUAACGCAGCGAAAGUUGUGCUAAUACCGCAUACGUACUGAGGUAGAAAGUGGGGGACCUUCGGGCCUCACGCUAUUCGAGCGGCCGACGUCUGAUUAGCUAGUAGGUGAGGUAAAGGCUCACCUAGGCGACGAUCAGUAGCGGGUCUGAGAGGAUGAUCCGCCACACUGGGACUGAGACACGGCCCAGACUCCUACGGGAGGCAGCAGUGGGGAAUUUUGGACAAUGGGCGAAAGCCUGAUCCAGCCAUGCCGCGUGUCUGAAGAAGGCCUUCGGGUUGUAAAGGACUUUUGUCGGGGAGGAAAUCCCCAGCGCUAAUACCGCUGGGGGAUGACAGUACCUGAAGAAUAAGCACCGGCUAACUACGUGCCAGCAGCCGCCGUAAGAC